AUUAAUGUAUUCAACGAGUUUAUAGCCUUGGCCGACAGGUCCGGGUAAUCUUUGAAAUUUCAUCGUGAUGGGGAUAGAUCAUUGUAAUUGUUGGUCUUCAAC
rnacentral:rRNA from 1 species